rnacentral:rRNA from 1 species
AAUAGAUACCCGGGUAGUCCACGCCGUAAACGAUGAAUACUAGGUGUGGGGGUUUCAACACCUCCGUGCCGCCGCUAACGCAUUAAGUAUUCCGCCUGGGGAGUACGGUCGCAAGAUUAAAACUCAAAGGAAUUGACGGGGACCCGCACAAGUAGCGGAGCAUGUGGUUUAAUUCGAAGCAACGCGAAGAACCUUACCUACACUUGACAUCCCUUGCAUUACUCUUAAUCGAGGAAAUCCCUUCGGGGACAAGGUGACAGGUGGUGCAUGGUUGUCGUCAGCUCGUGUCGUGAGAUGUUGGGUUAAGUCCCGCAACGAGCGCAACCCUUAUCGUUAGUUACUACCAUUAAGUUGAGGACUCUAGCGAGACUGCCUGGGUUAACCAGGAGGAAGGUGGGGAUGACGUCAAAUCAUCAUGCCCCUUAUGUGUAGGGCUACACACGUGCUACAAUGGCUGGUACAGAGAGAUGCAAUACCGCGAGGUGGAGCCAAACUUAAAACCAGUCUCAGUUCGGAUUGUAGGCUGAAACUCGCCUACAUGAAG